AAUGCUCUCACUUAGCCCUGGCCGGUGUGGCUCAGUUGGUUGAACUUCGUCCCCUGCACCGAGAGGUUGCCUGUUCGAUU